rnacentral:tRNA from 1 species
GCAGUGGUGGUUCAGUGGUAGAAUUCUCACCUUCCAUGUGGGAGACCUGGAUUCAGUUCUUGGCCAAUGCA